UCCGGAUUUAUUGGGCGUAAAGGGAGCGCAGGCGGUCAGGAAAGUCUGGAGUAAAAGGCUAUGGCUCANCCAUAGUGUGCUCUGGAAACUNUCUGACUUGAGUGCAGAAGGGGAGAGUGGAAUUCCAUGUGUAGCGGUGAAAUGCGUAGAUAUAUGGAGGANCACCAGUGGCGAAAGCGGCUNUCUGGUCUGUCACUGACGCUGAGGCUCGAAAGCGUGGGUAGCGAACAGGAUUAGAUACCCUGGUAGUCCACGCCGUAAACGAUGAGUGCUAGGUGUUAGGCCCUUUCCGGGGCUUAGUGCCGGAGCUAACGCAAUAAGCACUCCGCCUGGGGAGUACGACCGCAAGGUUGAAACUCAAAGGAAUUGACGGGGGCCCGCACNNGCGGUGGAGCAUGUGGUUUAAUUCGAAGCAACGCGAAGAACCUUACCAGGUCUUGACAUCCCGAUGCUAUUCUUAGAGAUAGGAAGUUACUUCGGUACAUCGGAGACAGGUGGUGCAUGGUUGUCGUCAGCUCGUGUCGUGAGAUGUUGGGUUAAGUCCCGCAACGAGCGCAACCCUUAUUGUUAGUUGCCAUCAUUAAGUUGGGCACUCUAGCGAGACUGCCGGUAAUAAACCGGAGGAAGGUGGGGAUGACGUCAAAUCAUCAUGCCCCUUAUGACCUGGGCUACACACGUGCUACAAUGGUCGGUACAACGAGUUGCGAGCCGGUGACGGCAAGCUAAUCUCUGAAAGCCGAUCUCAGUUCGGAUUGGAGGCUGCAACUCGCCUCCAUGAAGUCGGAAUCGCUAGUAAUCGCGGAUCAGCACGCCGCGGUGAAUACGUUCCCGGGCCUUGUACACACCGCCCGUCACACCACGAGAGUUUGUAACACCCGAAGUCGGUGAGGUANCCUUUUAGGGGCCA
rnacentral:rRNA from 1 species